rnacentral:rRNA from 1 species
AUUGAACGCUGGCGGCAGGCCUAACACAUGCAAGUCGAACGAGUGGCGGACGGGUGAGUAAUGUCUGGGAAACUGCCUGAUGGAGGGGGAUAACUACUGGAAACGGUAGCUAAUACCGCAUACCAUCAGCUCUGCCCAGAUGGGAUUAGCUCGGGGGUGGGGUAACGGCUCACCAAGGCGACGAUCCCUCGCUGGUCUUAGAGGAUGACCAGCAAAACUGGAACUGAGACACGGGCCAGACUCCUACGGUAGGCAGAAGUGGGGAAUAUUGCACAAUGGGCGCAAGCCUGAUGCAGCCAUGCCGCGUGUAUGAAGAAGGCCUUCGGGUUGUAAAGUACUUUCAGCGGGGAGGCGUUACCCGCAGAAGAAGCACCGGCUAACUCCGUGCCAGCAGCCGCGGUAAUUC